GGGGCUGAUUUUUGGGCGCGGCUGUGCCCGUGGCCUAUUUUUGGCACACGGAGGCUGCCCGCAAAGUCUGGGGCCAUUCCGAGUCCGGCGGACGAACUUCGCCCACGCCCCCCACCAAGGCUAUAGCCCAGCCGAUUUUUGGUCGUUUUUCCGCUGGGGGGUAUUGGCUCCCCGACCUUCGGGGGCUGAUUUUUGGGCGCGGCUGUGCCCGUGGCCUAUUUUUGGCACACGGAGUCCGCCCGAAAAGUCUUGGGCCAUUCCGAGUCCGGCGGACGAACUUCGCCCACGCCCCCCACGAAGACCAUAGCCCACCCAUUUUUUGGCCAUUUUUCUACUGGGGUUUCUUGGCGCCCCGACCUUCGGGGGCUGAUUUUUGGGCGCGGCUGAGCCCGUGGCCUAUUUUUGGCACACGGAGGCCGCCCGCAAAGUCUGGGGCCAUUCCGAGUCCGGUGGACGAACUUCGCCCACGCCCCCCGCCAAGGCUAUAGCCCACCCGUUUUUUGGCCAUUUUUCCGCUGGCGAGUGUUGGCGCCACGACCUUCGGGCUCUCAUUUUAGGGCGCGGCUGUGCCCGUGGCCUAUUUUUGGCACACGGAGGCCGCCCGCAAAGUUUGAGGCCAUUCCGAGUCCGGCGGACGAACUUCGCCCACGCCCCCCACCAAGGCUAUAGCCCACCCGUUUUUUGGCCAUUUUUCCGCUGGGGGGUGUUGGAACCCCAACCUUCGGGAGCUCAUUUUUGGGUGCGGCUGUGCCCGUGGCCUAUUUUUGGCACACGGAGGCCGCCCGCAAAGUCUGGGGCCAUUCCGAGUCCGGCAGACGAACAUCGCCCACGCCCCCCACCAAGGCUAUAGCCCGUCCGUUUUUUGGCCAUUUUUCCGCUGGGAGUCUUGGCGCCCCGACGGAAAGGGGGCUGAUUUUUGGGCACGGCUGUGCCCGUGGCCUAUUUUUGGCACACGGAGGCUGCCCGCAAAGUCUGGGGCCAUUCCGAGUCCGGCGGACGAACUUCGCCCACGCCCCCCACCAAGGCUAUAGCCCAGCC
rnacentral:lncRNA from 1 species